rnacentral:rRNA from 1 species
GAUGAACGCUGGCGGCGUGCCUAACACAUGCAAGUCGAACGGAGAUUACGGACGGAAGUUUUCGGAUGGAAGCCUGUAAUUCUUAGUGGCGGACGGGUGAGUAACGCGUGGGCAACCUGCCCUAUACGGGGGGAUAGCAGCUGGAAACGGCUGGUAAGACCGCAUAAGUCGGUUAAAUCGCAUGAUUUGAUCGGGAAAUGAGCAAUCAGGUAUAGGAUGGGCCCGCGUCCGAUUAGCCAGUUGGCAGGGUAAAAGCCUACCAAAGCGACGAUCGGUAGCCGGACUGAGAGGUCGGACGGCCACAUUGGGACUGAGACACGGCCCAAACUCCUACGGGAGGCAGCAGUGGGGGAUAUUGCACAAUGGAGGAAACUCUGAUGCAGCGACGCCGCGUGAGUGAAGAAGUAUUUCGGUAUGUAAAGCUCUAUCAGCAGGGAAGAUGAUGACGGUACCUGACUAAGAAGCCCCGGCUAACUACGUG